rnacentral:lncRNA from 1 species
UCCUUUGUUGUUCAAUAUGAGUUUACUCCACCGUACUUUUGGAAAGUCACCCUGUAAUCUCUUAUACACAGCUCUAAUAUACAAUCUGCCAGCCUGUAUCAUAUCUUGCUCACAGUAGCCAGCCCUUUCCAUUCCAAUUCUUGUCCUUAAAGAAUUUCCACAAAUCCAGUCCUUAAGAAUCUCCUACAGUAUAAACACUUAAGCCCAAUGAACUGGAUAGUUUUCUUUGGCAGUAUAUACACCUGUGCCCAAAAAGUCUGUAUUGAGAACAGUACACUUCUGAGCGAUUUGGUCCUUCCAGCAUAUGUUAGGAACCUUGCUGUCCGCGAAGUCAUCUUCCCAAGCAUUUUCUCUAUAAGUGUCUCACAUUGAAGUGCAGUUAGCCUCUUUGUACUCUAAGGGACCCCUAUAUACCUGAAAGGCAGUUUCUCCCUUAGAAUAUCCCAACAUAUCGAGUAUUUGUUGCUGUACUGGUGGUGCAGUUCCCCCAAAAUAGAUAGAACUUUUCUCUAAGUUAGCAAUGGGACGACGCAGCUGAAUAUCUUUGGAAUCUCUCCUGUAAUACAGUAAUAGAUUUUGAAUCAUCCCUGCAAUAAAGUAGCAGAUCAUCAGCAAAGCCUAAAAGUAGCCUCUGGUCUUAUUUUUUGUCGAUUCAUAUUUUCAUAUUUCUGUGCAGACAUUAUUCUAAAGGACAAGAUUGUUGUUUAUGAUCUGGCUAGACAACGGAUUGGAUGGGCCAGUUACAAUUGUAAGUCAUAUAGUAAUCCCUAUGCUCUCUAGUAAAUUAAUGUAUACCUUCAGUCAGUUGUCGUAUUAAGCUAAGACAUGUUCUGUAUCUGUGUAAAUAUCAGGUUCUAAGGCCGUCAAGGUUUCAGCUACCACGAGCAACGCCAAUGUUGCCAGCAUUAGUGUUUGGCAUUUACUACUUGUUCUUGUAAUAAACUAUAGUGUUGCAGUUUCUAGGUGUUCUCUUUCACAGUAGUAGCCUCUUAAGGCAAUUUCCUAGCUCCACUUAUUGUAAAUUCAUGUAGUGAUUAAUUGCCUUUGUAAAUUAGAUUUUGAACACCUGUGUAUAACAAUAUUCUCCAUAGUUGCAUUUGAUUUUGAAUGAAAAUUUUGUUAAACGCUUCCCAAUUAUGUGUUUG